rnacentral:rRNA from 1 species
CAGCCGCCGCGGUAAUACAGAGGAUACAAGCGUUAUCCGGAAUCACUGGGCAUAAAGCGUCUGUAGGUUGCCUACCAAGUCUGCUGUUAAAGAUCAGGGCCUAACCCUGGGAAAGCAGUGGAAACUAGUAGGCUUGAGUGUGGUAGAGGUAGAGGGAAUUCCUGGUGUAGCGGUGAAAUGCGUAGAUAUUAGGAAGAACACCAAUGGCGAAAGCACUCUACUGGGCCAUAACUGACACUGAGAGACGACAGCUAGGGGAGCAAAUGGGAUUAGAUACCCCAGUAGUCCUAGCCGUAAACGAUGGAUACUAGGUGUUGCACGUAUUAACCCGUGCAGUAUCGUAGCUAAGGCGUUAAGUAUCCCGCCUGGGAAGUUCGCUCGCAAGAUUGAAACUCAAAGGAAUU